UGUGUGUGUGUGUGUGUGUGUAUGUGUGUGUAUACAAAGCAGAUAAGAUAUUCUCUUGAGCAUGAUUGGAUUGGAAAUAGUAGCUAUGCCAGGGGAAAUUUUAUGCAAUCCCCUUGGCUGUGGGCUACACAUUUAUUGUGUUAUACAAAUAUGCCAAAAAAAAUGCCAUUUACACAGUUGCCUAAAACAAAAUUGAAAUUAUACAUUAGUGUUUAAAGUUUUUUUUUUUCUUUCGCCUCCUUUUCUUAAUGAAUGGCAGAUAAUGAAAUUUAGGAGUUUGCAAAAACAAACGUAGUUUAAAUUGUACCUUAGUUGUCUAUGAAAUACAAAUACAUUUUAUAUAUUUAUGGAAACAUUUGUGUGUGUUCAGAAAGUCCAUAUUUUGCAUUCAAGAUUGACCCUGUUUUAAGUCAUAUUUCAUUUGCUACACUCAAAUUGACUAAAGGCAGAUACUUUGGCAUUCACUUUUUGAUUCAUUAUUAAGGCAUUAUUUUGAUUGAUUCUGCUUAAGGUAGUUUUCCUGAUCAGAGUAGACGUUUAGGCCACCUAUCUAGACAAAUAUCCCACUUUCCUAUCUGAAAUAUUUGAUCUCUCCUUACCCAUUCUAGGGUUUUGUGCAUCUCUAAGAUGAUCAUCUUGGUGUGGGGUCCUGAUCUUCCCAGUGACUUAGCAGCACAGUAAUUUGGCUGAAAUGUUGAUGAGUUCAGACAAGAAGAAGGUGAUGAUGACAAGAGAGCGUCACGGGGAAAUUCUGCCCUGAGGAAGGAAUAGUUUGAGGCUGGAGAGAUGUGCUACCCCCGCCACUCUUUCUCAAAUGGAAAGACAACCUGUAGGCACAGAAAUCAUUGCUCUGCUUACACUGAAAUCUCCUGCUGACUUUGAGAGCUGAGCAUUGGAUUUUGAUGGGAGAGUGAAACUUAGUGAAGAAAUGAUUUGAACCUUUGUUGAUCUAAUACUUCUGUGAUACAGUUAUCUAAACAGAAUGAGUCUAAAGUCAGUAUAAAGACCUGUGUCUCUCCAUGUUUUGCUGCUUAUAAUUGCAGAGGAACAUUUUGAGAUAGAAAAUUUUAUCCCUCUUUCAAGUGACUUUUUAUAAAACAUAACCUUUUAAGAGAGGUCAUUCUUUUGAAAAAUUGUCUGAAUACAAAAAAGUAACUGAACAGCAAGGGAUUGUAGCCAUAAUGUUCUUGACCACUUUAGAUUGACAAAUAGUAUCUCAAAAUUGAUCAGGUUCUGGAGAAUCUAUUGAGGUUGUAUGGAGUAACCAAGUGAUGGAAGAGGUUGGAAGUGAAUAAUUUUAUGUGGUAUUAUGUGAUUUUUUUUGGUGGGGGUAGUGUCUGGAGCUGAGCAUGAUGGAGCCUAGAUGGGGCAGCCUUCUAAUGCUCCCAGUAUUUCGCAAAUCAUAUGUCACGUCAAAAUUGUAAUGACAAAGCUCACAGCAGCUGCCUACGCCAGGUUUGGUGCCAGCUCUAAUUAGAGCAUUGAUCAUUUCUCUCCCCUUCAUGAAUGCACAUGAGUGCACAUUUUCAUAUAUAAGGGCAAAGGACAUUUCAAAGUUUGGAUGGAAUCUUUCCUACUUAGAAGUAAUAAAAAACAAUACUUUGAAAUCUUACCAAAUGUUAAACAAAUAGCAACAAUUUUUCCAUUUGAAGAUGUGUGUCUUAAGGUCUGUUGGAUCUUUCAAAUUUCUAUUUUGGACAUGGAAACUACAGAUGAAAUUUAACUUACUCAAAGUUACACAGAACUCCUGGCUGAUCUCUUUUACUUAAUUCUUCUAAAAUCUAAAGUAAGAAUAAUUUUGAAAUUUUAUUGGUAAUGCUUAAAUAACAAAAGUUACUUUAAUAUGUUACAUGUUUGAAGUUUCAUUUAUACUUAAUAUCUAAUUUAACGCUUGUGAAAAUAUUAUUCAGUAUUUUUUUUUCUUUUCUAAAAUGACUUGUUCAGGGCUCCUUUUGGGAUUUUAAGUGAGAAAAACUCUAUUUCAUAAUAUUGUUACCAUGCUCAUCCAAUAACACUUCAUAGAUGGUUAGCCAUCUCUAAAAUUAAAUUUUGUAGUUGAGGAGCAUUGAAAAUAUCACCUAUAUUUGGAUUUCUGUUUAACACUUCAAAAUGCAUUUUAUCAUAAUUUAAAAUUUGAUUUAAAUACAAACCUCUUUAUAGAAAACCUGAUAAAUGUAGUUUUAUUUGUUUGCUUGCUUUUUUUUGCAGGGAGGGAUAUUCCCUUGAUACCACUCUGUCUUUAUGACUCAUCGGUUAUUUAUAAAUGUUAUCAUCGUUUUUCUGAUUUUUAAAUAAGUUUCAGAAUUAAUACAUUUAACUGAAUAAAUCAACCAAUAAUGUCAAACUUAAAAUGUGUUUGUAACAAGAGUCAGCACUUAUAAUGAAAAAUAUAAUUAAUUAAGAGGUUACAAAACUUAUAAGCAGAGUUUACUCUGCUUACAGAAGGGCAAACAUUUGUUAUUUGAUACAACAUAUUAAGUAUUUAUCCCAUGCAAUCACUGUCCUAGGCUUUGAGUUUAUAGUGAUGAUCAAAACGAUUUACAGGUUUCAAGAACCCUGCUCACAUACAGCUUACAAUCCUAUGUGGGAAAAUGAUAAUAGUGAAAUAAUUACAUUAAUUAAUAUAUACUUGAUUCAAAUGUAAAUAAUUAUUCUGAAGGAAAGACACCUACAUCAAGAGAGCUGGCUUAAAUUCGGGGAUCAAGGAAGCCUUUCCAAAUAAUUGUUGAUGGGAUUGAAAGACAAUUGUGGGAUGAGAUGACCACCUGGGCUUGGUAUGGGGGAGAUACAACUGUCAGUGGGAAAGCCCUGGAGAUGGGGAAGAAGAACUUCUUCAAUGGAGAGAAGUUCCUGAGUGAGGAGAAGGCAGGUGACCACAGUGUGAAGUGAUGCUAUAGAAGCCAACCACGUGGCUAUGCAAGCAGAAGGAAUUUAUCCAAAAAGAAAGGGGGAGGCAUUAGAGGGAUUUAGUGUGGAGAGUGGUGGUGACAAGAUCAGAUUUGCAACUUGCAACUCUCUCUCAGGUUGCAGCAUGGGGGAUGAUGGGAUGAGCCCAGAGUGGACUGACGCAUUUCCAGUAGUCCAGGAGAGUGGCAUGUGGCAUGAACUGUGUGAGGAAGGGGGAGCUGGGGGGAAGAAGUGGGGUAACAACACCCUAUUUGUUGUUUUGCUUCUUACACUUUGAAAAAUAUUUCAAAGCAGGAAUGCUAUUCCAGACAUUUAACACCUGGAACAGGAAUAAGUACCAACCAAAUAUCGUGGGAGACUGACGAAUCAGAAUGAACAUCAGCUCUGCAUGGCAGUAUGGUUUUAAAACACUUUCAUGUCUAUGUAAACAAAGUAAAAAUGUUAAAAGAUUAUUUUACGCCUUUGGUUAUCAGAUAGUCAGACUUUUAGUAGUUUAUAUUUUAUUGCAGUCUGAUGAGGUCUGCUUUUAAUAGUAGUUUUCUCUUCUUCCCCCAACCCCAUUACAUUAAAAUGGCAAAUGAUACUUUUCCUUGUUAGUAAGCAAGGCCAAGUUAGGAUUAUCAGAAAGUCAAUACCUAAACACAAAGAAUAGUGCAGCCAAACCCGGAAAAUAUUGUCUGUUUUGCCAAGAGGAAGCAUCUCACUGAGUAUCUGGAAAGCUCAUUGUUUCUCAAUUAUGGUUAUUUUAUUAGUUGCCAUAACUCAGCUAUAGUCAUAAUGUAACUGACCAGCACCGAUGAUGAAAUCAAUAACCAC
rnacentral:lncRNA from 1 species